ACACGAGGGACAUGAAGGUUGUCGACAAAUGAGUUUUCCUUUAAGUGAAAGUUGCCUCAAGAUUUAUGUCAGACAAACACUCGAAGUUGCAACAUAAGAAUUCCUUGUCUCUCGACUAUGACAGCAUUUGUCGCCAAAUCCUUGAAAGCACUUGUUAACGAU